GUACUCGCUUCGGCGACACAUAUACUAAAAUUGGUACGAUACAGAAAAUAUUAGCAAGACCCCAGCUCAGGAAUGACACUCAAAAUGCACUGAAGCGCCAAAGAAUCUG